GAAACGGGGGAUUGCUAGUCAGUGAGAAAAGUUCUCAUGGAUAUAAAGGAACAGACUGCUUGUUUUAGGGGUGCUUGAUCUGAGUUAAUCUCCCUGCACCGCUUUGAGAUCUCAAAUAAACUUGGUUUGCUUCUCCACCCUGGUGUGUUUAUUGGCGCGGCACACCAGGCGACGGACCCCCCCCCCCCCCCGCUGUUGCUUGGCCUCAGGCAGUUAUCUGCCGGCAACAGUUCUUGGCGCCCAACGUGGGGCAUUGAGGCUAAAAUUAGCCUUGCCUGGAUCCCUUCUGGUGGUCGACAGAUUGCGGCGACGACCGACGCCCAGCGCGCACCGGUGACUUCACCGGGGGCCUCGGCGGAGACGCAGUUCGACUGACCCCAGAGGGCACAACGGUGCAAUGCGCUCAAGUAGUGGAGAAGCAGUUGAGGGCGACGGUGAGGAACCGGUCCCUUGGAUAAGAUAAUCAGAGAAAACUGAUGCCAGCUGAACAGCAUUCAACAUACCAUGCAUUUACUGGCACAACAGGAAUCAUGUUUUGUGUUCUAUGUUCUGUCCUGUGGUGUUUGUCUUGUGGCCAGAAUUUUUGUGUUUAAUAUUUUUAUAAAAUAGUCUAGUUUAAAAUCAAACAAAAAGGUUAAAUUAAAAUGCAGAUAUUUGUUUUGUUCACCUUGGAAUACAAAGUGUUUGGAUAAAUCAGGAGAAUGUGAUAUACUAAAGUCUAAUGCAUUUCCUCAAGAAAAAGAAA